rnacentral:rRNA from 1 species
AAACUUUCAACAACGGAUCUCUUGGUUCCAGCAUCGAUGAAGAACGCAGCGAAAUGCGAUAAGUAAUGUGAAUUGCAGAAUUCAGUGAAUCAUCGAAUCUUUGAACGCACAUUGCGCCCCCUGGUAUUCCGGGGGGCAUGCCUGUUCGAGCGUCAUUU